GGUUGAUCCUGCCAGUAGUCAUAUGCUUGUCCCAAAGAUUAAGCCAUGCAUGUGUGAGUACAACCAAGUAACUGGUGAAACUGCGGACGGCUCAUUAAAUCAGUGAUAAUUUGCAUGGAGAUGGUGAAUACCAGUGGAUAACCGUGGUAAUUCUAUGGCUAAUACAUGACAAGAGCAUUUAUUAGAUACGACCAGACACAUAAAUUCAUUUAUGCUCAAGGGGACUCAUAGUAACUGGCAGAUCGUGGCGCGAGCCGCGACGCUCCAUAGAAAUUUCUGCCCUAUCAACUUU
rnacentral:rRNA from 1 species